CCGCCCGUCACAUCACGAAAGUGAGUUGUACUAGAAGUCGACGCAGCUAACCGCAAGGGAGCACGUCGGCCCAAGGUAUGACCCGAUGAUUGGGGUG
rnacentral:rRNA from 1 species